CCGGGCCGCGGCCUGGUUGACCGCCUCCAGCCCGGAGGCGCAGAAGCGGUUGAGCUGCACCCCGCCGGUGGUGUCCGGCAGCCCGGC
rnacentral:tRNA from 1 species